UGCGUGUGCAUGUAUUGAUACAGAGUUAGGGAACAAGGUGCACCAAACACAAAUUCUAUGUGCUCAUUAAAAGUAGCAAAGUUAAAUUGUUUAACAAAAAAAAAAUGAAUAAAAUCAAACUGGAAAUGUCACAAUGGAAAAUUCACUUGCUUAUUUAAAUGAAAAACCUGGCAUGUCCGUUUGCUUUGAAAUCAUAUUUUGGUACGGAAAAUGUCAUUUCAAAGACCAUUUUAAAAACAAACAAAAAAUCAAGUUUUUCGUCAAGAGUCUGAAUUUAUCAAUGCCACAAUUUCAGGGGGGUAUUUGGCGUAUGCAAGAGAAAAAUAGUGACCACGCCUGUCUUUCCAGAGAUGCUGAUAAUUAUAAUCCUUAGUUCCUUUUGCACUGUAACCUAUUUCAAGUGAAUCCUUAUUGUUUGGUCAGGAAAGCUCCGAUCACUUCUAGCCAAAGCAUUGGUGGAGUUUGCCUGCAGUUCGGGGCACAAGAGAUGUAGCAUGGACCGCUGGAGGCAUGAGUAGCUGUCUAUUGCUGAAGUUGGAACUAUUGCUAAAUGAGCUACGACUGCGAAUAUCAACUGGCCCCAAAGACUGUGAAGGUAAGAACAUGAGAACAGCCGUACUGAGUCAGAUCUCGAUUGUCUGCCUUCCAAAUAGCGGUGUCUCGCAAGCUCGUGUGACAGAAGUCCCUCAAGAGUCAGUCAAUGGAACCGUUGGACAAUCUGUGCUCCUGCAUGUCACCUACAGCUUCCCAGUGUCACUUCGCUUUCCUUUGCCAAUUCAGUGGCGUUUCAGUAACACCCCUAAUCCACUCGUCACCUAUACAGUGAAUAGCUGCUCUGUCGAUGCUGAGGGGUUCCCCACCCGCUGCGCUGGGAAUCAUUUUACACUUCCCGCCUACCAAGGCCGGGCUGUGUUUUUCCCUGAAAAUAUUUCUCUGCUCCUUCAGAACCUACAGCUCAGCGACAGCGGCAUCUACAGCAUCACCAUCAAUGGCAUGAGAAGGAGAGAAAUUUCAUUAGUGGUAUCAACCUCUCAGCCGACCAACAGCAGCACAGAGUCCGAUGACCCUACUGAAGAUGACGACCCUGCCAUCCCUGUGUACCCGCUGGAGUACAUUGCUGGAGGUUUCUCUAUUGUGCUCCUGCUGCUGCUGCUAGCGUUCUGCUACAGUUGGUGCCGGGGUGCAGCUGGAUCAAAAGCAACCAGGAUUACAAGGCAAGAGCAGGUCCGGAGUCCCGAGGACCCCUGCACAGAAGAUGCCCUGGACUUGCCAAGCCUGUACGCCAGCCCGCAACGAGCCCGAGAAAAGUCUUUCACCCAGUCUGAGCCACUGAUUGAAUACGCGACCCUCGGCUUCACGGGACGCUGACAGCCGCUGCUGGGGGGCGUGAGAAGGCCGUGCUCCUGCACUACGGAAGCCACGUGGUUGGUGGCUCGGUUGGAAACAAUGGAGGGGUUCCUUUUCAGAGGCAGUAAGGACUGAGGUCCCAUGAUGCUGGGUCCCUGCAGUCACCCAGGCCUGCCUAGACCCUUGCCGGAUUUCCCCUUUCCCCAGGGAAAUGUCAUUUUCAUACAGUGGGACCGACGCUGAAGAGCUGUCGUGAUCUCCAGGAAGCUCGAGAUUCCCAAUUCUGAGCCUAAGGCGUGUUGCAUGUUUUUGAGCUGGAUACUUCAGGAGCUAAAAUGACUUAUGCUCCCCCGCAAGCCUCAGUUCUCACAGAGCCCCGAGGGCCUGGAAUAUUCCGCAAGCUUCAAGGACAGUCAGUCCAUCCAUGAGCCAUAUUCUUUGUUCAGUAGCCUGUAAAGCUGUCCAUGUAAAUCUAAAAGUGGUUACCGUGUUUUACCGUAGAUAACCCACGGGUUAUGCAAAGUUUUACAAACCCCGCCCCCCCUUUUCCCCGCAGGCUAUACUUGUCCGCGUGUAAUACAGGGGUUUUUACUUGGGUGCCGGUUGAGGUGCCGAAUCAGAAUCACUGUCGUAGCCUGAGCAGCUGCCACAGGGAGGGACCAAGCAGGCAGAGCAGAGGGGGACGAGAAUUCAGGGAAGAGGUAAUUGCUGUGGGGAGGGAGAGGAGAUUCCCCUGCUGUGGGAAUACCCAGCGACCUUCUUCCCUCUGUUGCAUCUGUCCGAGAAAGGGGUGGGGGUGCUCUGUUUAAAGACACAGCUCCUUUGCUCAGCUCCUGGCUCUGGCUGCCUGGGGCAGACAGCUCACCCCGGGGGAGUGCACAGCACGGGCAAAAGGCAUUUGGGGAGGGUUGGAAACAGUGCGAAGGGUAAGCCCAGUCACCUUCCCUUCCCAUGCCGCCUGGGGCAGACAGCUCACCCCGAAGGAGCUAAUCUGUCUGCCCUGUCGGGCUGUGGCCAUCUACUCUCUGCUUUGGCAGUUCUGUAUCUGGGAGCUCAAAUGCUUCUGUGCUACAGGCUCAUGACACCUGAGUUAAUUACCCUCGUUAUCUUUCAGUAACAGUACCCGCGAUUCAUCUCCCGCGGGCUAUCCACGUGCACGGGGUAUGUAAGACACUUUUUAUUCAAUCAGGAAAAACCGUGGGUUAUACACAGGUGUGGGUAAUACUCAUGCGCGGGUUAUAUACGCUAAUUUACGGUAAAUCUAAAACGAAGUAGUUGUCUUUUUUCAGUGGACGGGACAGUUUCCUGAGGGACAUUUCUGUACCGUUCUUUAUGUUUGCCCGUUCUUGUGAUUUUACCACAGCUGUCCCAAUAUUUGGUGGCUCCGGCAGUCCUGUGAAGGUGGAAGAAUCUCAGUUUUCAGAGCUGUUGCUGGUUUUCCAAUGGGCAGCCGACGCAAAGGGAACCCCAGAAAGAAAAGCUGCCACCGUGGGCUCCUCAAUGCUGCUGCCCCCACCAAACAACAUAAAGGGGGUGACGUUUCUGCAGUGGGGACAUCUAAACGGUCCUGCAUCCCACUUCAUCGUGCAGUACCACGAAGGGUCACCAGGUCCAACAGGGGCAGGGGCAUUUUCUAUCCAUCCAAGGGAUGGCUGUGCCAUCUCUUGUAGAGGAAGCAUCUGACACCUCCUGCUGGAAAAGGUGCAAGAGACAGACAACGGGGCCUACGAAGCCACUGUCGAUAUGGCAGAAAGCGCAGCCAGGAGAACCCUGCUGGACGUUCUCGGUAAGCGAGCGGCGCAGGGGAGAUGGUUUUAGGCCUUGUACGUGUGCUAGUCUGUGCAGUGGAACAGAGCUAAAUGCAGUGGGAGUAGCCAUCAUGAUUCCGGCCGGGCAGGGAUUAACUGCACCCAGGCGCUCACUGGAAGACUUCGCUAAGGUCUGCAGAGGGCGGCAACUCUGCACGAUGCUGCUCUACGCUCCUGAGCCGAGAGGCGGGGACGGGAGAAGGUCUCUGCCCCUUAGAACCAGGCGGCAAGGUGUCUGUCAGCGAGGUGCUGUGUUCACACAGCGGGAGGAUUGUGCAAGUGGCUGUGCUCCGGUUCCAGAGUGCCCCUUGCUGGCCACACACAGAACAGCUGUGCCAUCUCUUGUGGAGGAAAGCAUCUGACACCUCCUGUGGAGCACAGGGAAUUAGCUGCAAGACUGUCACCGACAACGAUGGGCAUUCAAUCCCCGUGUUGGUUAGUAGCCUGUUUUCUGAGCCGAGACCCCAGCACUGGAGGAGAGUUAAAAUAACUAACUAUUUGCACUGGCUGCUCUCCCAUGGUUUGUCUUACAGUGGAAACUGAAGAACUGAACCUUUAAUAACUCCGGUCAUCUGAAGAAGCGGGUUGUGCCCACGAAAGCUCACGAUUCCAUCGACACGUUUCAUUAGUCUCUACGGUCCUACCAGACUAUUCGUUAUUUUUCAAGUUUUCCAGUUACAGACUAACUCAGCUACCCCUCUGAAGUGUAAACUUGGUAGAUGUGUGUUUUUAUAUCAUUGUUUUGUACCACAUGUAUGACAUCACGGCUUUUAAUAAUCCCUAAGAACAGCGAUUUAUUAUUUAGUUACCUAGGAAAUCUAAAAAUAUUGUACAUAGAAUGUAUUAGUUUGAUUUUUGAUUAUGGUAUAAAUGUCCUGUUAGAGACAC